UACUAUGUUACGACUUAUCUCACUUCUGAGAGCGACGGGCGAUAUGUGCAUAUUUUAGAGCUUGAUUCAAAUACUCAUAAUAUUAGUAUUUUACUAUUAAAUCCUAAAAAUUCUUUCAACAAAAAAAAUUACAUUAAAAUUAAUGUAAUUCACCUCAUUCAUAAUUAUUUGAUGCACCUUGACUUAAUAUAUUUUUUUUAAAAAAAAUUUUAAAUAUAACUAUUCAAUAUAAUUUAUAUAGUGGUAUACAAACUGAUUUUAAUUACUAAAUUAAGUAAGAUUAAGGCGUUGUGUCCAUUACAGAGCAAAUUCCUCUAAUAAGCUUAAAAUACCGCCAAAAUUUUUUGAUUUCAUAAAUUUUAUUUACUCCUAAUAUAUAACUUAAAAUAAUAGGGUAUCUAAUCCUAGUUU
rnacentral:rRNA from 1 species